CAACUUUCAACAACGGAUCUCUUGGCUCUCGCAUCGAUGAAGAACGCAGCGAAAUGCGAUACGUAAUGUGAAUUGCAGAAUUCAGUGAAUCAUCGAAUCUUUGAACGCACCUUGCGCCCCUUGGCAUUCCGAGGGGCACACCCGCUUGAGUGUCGUGA
rnacentral:rRNA from 1 species